UCGGCUGCUUUGUUGAGCC
rnacentral:siRNA from 1 species